UACGUAGGAGGCAAGCGUUGUCCGGAUUUAUUGGGCGUAAAGGGCGCGCAGGCGGCAUAUUAAGUCAGGUGUGAAAUCUCCCGGCUCAACUGGGAGGGUGCACCUGAUACUGGUAAGCUGGAGUGCAGCAGAGGGAGAUGGAAUUCCCGGUGUAGUGGUGAAAUGCGUAGAUAUCGGGAGGAACACCAGUGGCGAAAGCGGUCUCCUGGGCUGUAACUGACGCUGAGGCGCGAAAGCGUGGGGAGCGAACCGG
rnacentral:rRNA from 1 species